GAUGAACGCUGGCGGCGUGCCUAAUACAUGGAAGUCGAGCGAACAGACGAGGAGCUUGCUCCUCUGACGUUAGCGGCGGACGGGUGAGUAACACGUGGAUAACCUACCUAUAAGACUGGGAUAACUUCGGGAAACCGGAGCUAAUACCGGAUAAUAUAUUGAACCGCAUGGUUCAAUAGUGAAAGACGGUUUUGCUGUCACUUAUAGAUGGAUCCGCGCCGCAUUAGCUAGUUGGUAAGGUAACGGCUUACCAAGGCGACGAUGCGUAGCCGACCUGAGAGGGUGAUCGGCCACACUGGAACUGAGACACGGUCCAGACUCCUACGGGAGGCAGCAGUAGGGAAUCUUCCGCAAUGGGCGAAAGCCUGACGGAGCAACGCCGCGUGAGUGAUGAAGGUCUUCGGAUCGUAAAACUCUGUUAUUAGGGAAGAACAAAUGUGUAAGUAACUAUGCACGUCUUGACGGUACCUAAUCAGAAAGCCACGGCUAACUACGUG
rnacentral:rRNA from 1 species